AGUGAACGCUGGCGGUAGGCCUAACACAUGCAAGUCGAACGGCAGCACAGGAGAGCUUGCUCUCUGGGUGGCGAGUGGCGGACGGGUGAGGAAUACAUCGGAAUCUACUCUGUCGUGGGGGAUAACGUAGGGAAACUUACGCUAAUACCGCAUACGACCUACGGGUGAAAGCAGGGGACCUUCGGGCCUUGCGCGAUUGAAUGAGCCGAUGUCGGAUUAGCUAGUUGGCGGGGUAAAGGCCCACCAAGGCGACGAUCCGUAGCUGGUCUGAGAGGAUGAUCAGCCACACUGGAACUGGGACACGGUCCAGACUCCUACGGGAGGCAGCAGUGGGGAAUAUUGGAGGAGGGGCGCAAGCCUGAUCCAGCCAUACCGCGUGGGUGAAGAAGGCCUUCGGGUUGUAAAGCCCUUUUGUUGGGAAAGAAAUCCAGCUGGCUAAUACCCGGUUGGGAUGACGGUACCCAAAGAAUAAGCACCGGCUAACUUCGUGCCAGCCGCCGCAGUAA
rnacentral:rRNA from 1 species